UACAGAGGGUGCGAGCGUUGUCCGGAAUCACUGGGCGUAAAGGGCGCGUAGGUGGCGCUCCAAGUCUGUGGUGAAAGCUCGACGCUCAACGUCGAGUCGGCCAUAGAGACUGGAGGGCUCGAGCACUGUAGGGGCAGAUGGAAUUCCGGGUGUAGCGGUGGAAUGCGUAGAGAUCCGGAAGAACACCGGUGGCGAAGGCGGUCUGCUGGGCAGUUGCUGACACUGAGGCGCGACAGCGUGGGGCGCAAACAGG
rnacentral:rRNA from 1 species